rnacentral:rRNA from 1 species
UACGUAGGGUGCAAGCGUUGUCCGGAAUUAUUGGGCGUAAAGAGUUCGUAGGCGGUUUGUCGCGUCCGUUGUGAAAGCUUGGGGCUCAACCCCAAGUCUGCAGUUGGAUACGGGCAGACUAGAGUCAGGUAGGGGAGAACGGAAUUCCUGGUGUAGCGGUGAAAUGCGCAGAUAUCAGGAGGAACACCGAUGGCGAAGGCAGGUCUCUGGGCAUUAACUGACGCUGAGGAGCGAAAGCAUGGGGAGCGAACAGG